rnacentral:tRNA from 1 species
GGAGAGAUGGGAGAGUGGCUUAAUCCACCGGUUUGCUAAACCGGCGUGCCCUGAAUAGGGUACCGGGGGUUCAAAUCCCCCUCUCUCCG